rnacentral:lncRNA from 1 species
UAUGACCUUCAGUGUCAUAAUCUGAAAUUGGUUACUGAAAGAAAAAGAGAGAGAGAGAGAGAGAACUAUGUAAUUAGAGUUUUUUCAAAAAAAAAAAGAACUAUGUAAUUAGCUCCUUCUCUGAAAAGGAAAAGGUACAAAUUUUGAUGCUGGAUUGGACCUAGUACCUUCUUGUAGUAUUCUUCAUCGUUUAGCAACACACCUUGUGGUCCAAUUUCUGAUGAAGAAUUUGAAUUUGAACACAAAUGAUUAUAAAUUUUGCAAAAGGGAGAGAAAUUGAGCUCUCCAAGGGGACAAACGCAUUUGUUUCCUUGUAGUGCAUGCAUGACUGCU